rnacentral:rRNA from 1 species
CGUGGUAAUUCUAGAGCUAAUACAUGCUAAAAAUCCCGACUUCGGAAGGGAUGUAUUUAUUAGAUUAAAAACCAACGCCCCUCGGGGCUCACUGGUGAUUCAUGAUAACUUCUCGAAUCGCACGGCCUUGCGCCGGCGAUGGUUCAUUCAAAUUUCUGCCCUAUCAACUUUCGACGGCUGGGUCUUGGCCAGCCGUGGUGACAACGGGUAACGGAGGGUUAGGGCUCGACCCCGGAGAAGGAGCCUGAGAGACGGCUACUACAUCCAAGGAAGGCAGCAGGCGCGCAAAUUGUCCAAUGCCGACUCGGCGAGACAGUGACGAUACAUACCGAUACAGGGCUCUUUUGGGUCUUGUAAUUGGAAUGAGUACAAUUUAAACCCCUUAACGAGGAACAAUUGGAGGGCAAGUCUGGUGCCAGCAGCCGCGGUAAUUCCAGCUCCAAUAGCGUAUAUUAAAGUUGUUGCAGUUAAAAAGCUCGUAGUUGAACCUCGGGCCUGGCUGGCCGGUCCGCCUCACCGCGUGCACUGGUCCGGCCGGGCUCUUCCCUCUGGGGAACCCCAUGUCCUUCACUGGGCGUGUGGGGAAACCAGGACUUUUACUUUGAAAAAAUUAGAGUGUUCAAAGCAGGCGCAUGCUCGAAUACAUUAGCAUGGAAUAAUAGAAUAGGACGUCGCGGUUCUAUUUUGUUGGUUUCUAGGACCGCCGUAAUGAUUAACAGGGACAGUCGGGGGCAUCAGUAUUCAACUGUCAGAGGUGAAAUUCUUGGAUCUGUUGAAGACUAACUACUGCGAAAGCAUUUGCCAAGGAUGUUUUCAUUAAUCAGGAACGAAAGUUAGGGGAUCGAAGACGAUCAGAU